AUUGAACGCUGGCGGCAGGCCUAACACAUGCAAGUCGAGCGGAUGAACGGGGUUUGCUCUUGGAUUCAGCGGCGGACGGGUGAGUAAUGCCUAGGAAUCUGCCUGGUAGUGGGGGAUAACGUCCGGAAACGGGCGCUAAUACCGCAUACGUCCUGAGGGAGGAAGUGGGGGAUCUUCGGACCUCACGCUAUCAGAUGAGCCUAGGUCGGAUUAGCUAGUUGGUGGGGUAAAGGCCUACCAAGGCGACGAUCCGUAGCUGGUCUGAGAGGAUGAUCAGCCACACUGGAACUGAGACACGGUCCAGACUCCUACGGGAGGCAGCAGUGGGGAAUUUUGGACAAUGGGCGAAAGCCUGAUCCAGCCAUGCCGCGUGUGUGAAGAAGGUCUUCGGGUUGUAAAGCACUUUUAGCGGGGAGGAAAAGGAGUGAGUUAAUACCUCGGUGUGUUGACGGUACCAGCAGAAUAAGCACCGGCUAACUACGUG
rnacentral:rRNA from 1 species